GAUGAACGCUAGCGGCAGGCUUAACACAUGCAAGUCGAGGGGUAGAGGAAGCUUGCUUCCUUGAGACCGGCGCACGGGUGCGUAACGCGUAUGCAACCUACCUUUUACAGAGGGAUAGCCCAGAGAAAUUUGGAUUAAUACCUCAUAGUAUAUGUUUUUCGCAUGUUAGACAUAUUAAAGUUCCAACGGUAAAAGAUGGGCAUGCGUCCUAUUAGCUAGAUGGUAAGGUAACGGCUUACCAUGGCAACGAUAGGUAGGGGUCCUGAGAGGGGGAUCCCCAAGACUGGGACUGAGACACGGACCAGACUCCUGCGGGAGGCAGCGGUGAGGAAUAUUGGACAAUGGGCGCAAGCCUGAUCCAGCCAUGCCGCGUGCAGGAAGAAGCAUCUAUGGUGUGUAAACUGCUUUUGUACGGGAAGAAACACUCCUUCGUGAAGGAGCUUGACGGUACCGUAAGAAUAAGGAUCGGCUAACUCCGUGCCAGCCGCCGCAGUAAGAC
rnacentral:rRNA from 1 species